rnacentral:snoRNA from 1 species
CAGUGAUGAUAACAUGUCAUGAAUCACGAUUAUGAUUAAUCCAUUUCUCUGCACUUGAG